CUAUAACGGUCCUAAGGUAGCAAAAUUCCUUGUCGGGUAAGUUCCGACCUGCACGAAUGGCGUAAUGAUGGCCAGGCUGUCUCCACCCGAGACUCAGUGAAAUUGAACUCGCUGUGAAGAUGCAGUGUACCCGCGGCAAGACGGAAAGACCCCGUGAACCUUUACUAUAGCUUGACACUGAACAUUGAGCCUUGAUGUGUAGGAUAGGUGGGAGGCUUCGAAGCGUGGACGCCAGUCUGCGUGGAGCCAACCUUGAAAUACCACCCUUUAAUGUUUGAUGUUCUAACGUUGCCCCAUUAUCUGGGGUGCGGACAGUGUCUGGUGGGUAGUUUGACUGGGGCGGUCUCCUCCCAAAGAGUAACGGAGGAGCACGAAGGUUGGCUAAGCAUGGUCGGACAUCAUGCGGUUAGUGCAAAGGCAUAAGCCAGCUUGACUGCGAGAGUGACGGCUCGAGCAGGUACGAAAGUAGGUCUUAGUGAUCCGGUGGUUCUGAAUGGAAGGGCCAUCGCUCAACGGAUAAAAGGUACUCCGGGGAUAACAGGCUGAUACCGCCCAAGAGUUCAUAUCGACGGCGGUGUUUGGCACCUCGAUGUCGGCUCAUCACAUCCUGGGGCUGAAGUAGGUCCCAAGGGUACGGCUGUUCGCCGUUUAAAGUGGUACGCGAGCUGGGUUUAGAACGUCGUGAGACAGUUCGGUCCCUAUCUGCCGUGGGCGUUGGAAGAUUGAAAGGGGCUGCUCCUAGUACGAGAGGACCGGAGUGGACGCACCACUGGUGUUCGGGUUGUCAUGCCAAUGGCAUUGCCCGGUAGCUAAGUGCGGAAGAGAUAACCGCUGAAAGCAUCUAAGCGGGAAACUUGCCUUGAGAUGAGUCUUCCCUGACUCUUUAAGGGUCCUAAAGGAACGUUUAAGACUAAGACGUUGAUAGGUUGGGUGUGUAAGCGUAGCGAUACGUUGAGCUAACCAAUACUAAUGAACCGUGAGGCUUAACCUG
rnacentral:rRNA from 1 species